GUGGAAAACUGACAACUAUAUCAGUGAGAGCACAGAAGCCCAGAGUGAGCAGAAAGAGCAGGAGUCAAGUGAGCUCACAAAAGAAGUUCCAGGAUAUGGCUAUAACAACAAACUCAUCUUGGCAAUAUCUGUAUCUGUAGUAGUGACGAUUUUGGUUACAAUUCUCUGUCUCAUUGAGAUUUAUUCUCAUAGAAUUGCAAAAGAGGAAGAUAAAAAAAGAAGCAGAAGGUAAAUAUUGGUUUUGAAAGCAGAAUUUUACAACUAGAGGAGAACUUAGAACUCAUCUAUUUCAAUUUCCUGACCAAAGGCAGGAAGAAUGUUUAAUUACCCUAAUGGUUUACCCUAAUUUAUUUAUUAGCAGAAUUAGCUCCCCAGCCCAAGCUGACUUAGAACAGGACUGGCACCGAUUC